rnacentral:rRNA from 1 species
UACGAAGGGAGCUAGCGUUAUUCGGAAUAACUGGGCGUAAAGCGCAUGUAGGCGGAACUACAAGUCAGAGGUGAAAUCCCGGGGCUCAACCCCGGAAUUGCCUUUGAAACUGUAGUUCUUGAGUGUGACAGAGGAUGGUGGAAUUUCCAGUGUAGAGGUGAAAUUCGUAGAUAUUGGAAAGAACACCGGUGGCGAAGGCGACCAUCUGGGUCACAACUGACGCUGAGAUGCGAAAGCGUGGGGAGCGAACGGG